rnacentral:rRNA from 1 species
UACGUAGGGGGCAAGCGUUGUCCGGAUUUACUGGGCGUAAAGAGCGCGCAGGCGGUCGUUCAAGUCGCGUGUGAAAGCCCCCGGCUCAACUGGGGAGGGUCACGCGAUACUGAUCGACUCGAAGGCAGGAGAGGGAAGUGGAAUUCCCGGUGUAGUGGUGAAAUGCGUAGAUAUCGGGAGGAACACCAGUGGCGAAGGCGACUUCCUGGCCUGUUCUUGACGCUGAGGCGCGAAAAGCUAGGGGAGCAA